rnacentral:rRNA from 1 species
UGAGGGAUAUUGGUCAAUGGGGGAAACCCUGAACCAGCGACGCCGCGUGGGUGAAGAAGGCCUUCGGGUCGUAAAGCCCUUUUCCCGCUGACGAGGAAGGACGGUAGGCGGGGAAGAAGUCUCGGCUAACUACGUGCCAGUAGCCGCGGUAAAACGUAGGAGGCAAGCGUUAUCCGGAGUUACUGGGCGUAAAGCGCGCGCAGGCGGCGAAGCAAGUGAGGGGUGGAAUAUACCGGCUAAACCGGGGGG